rnacentral:rRNA from 1 species
CAGCAGCCGCGGGAAUACGAAGGGGGCUAGCGUUGCUCGGAAUGACUGGGCGUAAAGGGCGCGUAGGCGGCUUGUACAGUCAGAUGUGAAAUUCCUGGGCUUAACCUGGGGGCUGCAUUUGAUACGUGCGGGCUAGAAUGUGAAAGAGGGUCGUGGAAUUCCCAGUGUAGAGGUGAAAUUCGUAGAUAUUGGGAAGAACACCGGUGGCGAAGGCGGCGACCUGGUUCAUGAUUGACGCUGAGGCGCGAAAGCGUGGGGAGCAAACAGGAUUAGAUACCCCCGUAGUCCCUGUCUCUUAUAA